rnacentral:lncRNA from 1 species
CUCAUACAGAGUGUCCAAGAGAGUGAAGCGAAGGGCCACACUUCUCAAAACCCGAAACUGAACGUGUUGGAUGUUGUGGCGCAUCUAAGAUUCGAGGCCAGCGUGGGCAGCGUGGUUUUGCAGUUGCGCUGGUUGCCUAAGCAGGACCUUUCUAGGUGUCUCUCCAGAGACUACAACCAGAGCCCCGGAACCCAGUGAUAGCCAUCAUUUCAUGACGUCUCAAAGUCAGGAUGUUGAAAAUUCGAUGUAUUAGCUCUGUAGGGGAAACCUCUGUGGCGCCUGAACAGUAUUCUCACCCCCUUUCCGGUUCUCGUCCCUUCUUUAGGCAAAGCUUGCAUUCCAGAAAGAUCUGAUGAAGCCUCUGGCCCCGACUUUCCUGUCUUCACCCCUGGCGGCCGCAGCUGUGUCCACUGCGCUGUCCCUGCCACCUCGGCCAUCUGCCUCUCUCUUCCAGGCUGCAGCCAUCCCUCCUGCACUGCUGAGGCCUGGCCACGGGCCCAUCCGGGCCACGCCCACCUCCAUCCUCUUUGCCCCUUACUAAACACUGGGAGCCCGCCCGCCCGCGACAGGCCAGGCCAGUGGGAAGGUGUAGACGAACAGCCCAAAGGAUUCAGCAGUGUAAGCCCUGUGUGUGACUGUAAGUACCCCACCUACGCACUUACAAAGUGCAGGCCACCGCCCAGCCCCACCUCCAGACACAGGCGGAGGCCAAGCUCAAGGGCACCGUCUCUUCCCGUGCCCUCUCCACCCUACCCCUGCCAAUUGGUGUAUCUGAGAUACUUAAGUUUCUUGAAAAUAUAUUGAUCAGAAAAAGAAAACCGACCUGUGUGUUCCCAUGACAUGGUGAUCUGGCUUAGAAACAAAAUGGAAUCUCUUCCUGACAGACUUGAACAGGAAGUAGGCUCUUCUCCGGAUGUCUGUAAAUAACUCCAGAAUCCAAGCGGGCGUAUUCUAGUGUGGAACAAAAGUCCAUCGCAAGUGCUUAAUUGUGGAUACCAUCUUCCCCACGGCCCAUGGCGUGUUUUUUUUUUCUUUUCUGGUGUACUAGUGUCCACAGGGAUUGUGUACUGUUCUAGACCCGAGUACUGUUGUACCCCGUGUAGUACUAGAUCGUAACUCUCGUUGAAUUAAACUUUUUUUUUCAUUGCUGUGUAAUUGUUAGGAAGCAGAGUAGCUUUGAAAUUUUUUCUCUCUAAGAGAACAAAAGAUAAUGUAUUUUCUUUAUUUCAUAUUUUAUUUGGAGAUAUUUAAACGAAAUAGAAAGCCAUAUAACAUAGCUAUAAUUACUACCUGUUUGCUAUUUUUGUUUUAACUUAUUUUUGUAGCAUCCUCACUGGUUUGAGUUGCUAAGCAAAUGUAUACAGAAACAAAAAGAGCUUCCUAAAUUGCACAUUUUUUUGCAACUUCUGUGCAUCUGCAAGAGGACAGUGAAUCUGUGUGUUUCUACAUAAAGGUCUUCAUUUUAAACCUCUGUUUUUCAUCGGUAACGAUGCUACAUAACUCUGUGGCUCCCUGACGCAAUAAUGUACAGAAGAUACAUAAUUUAUAAUUGAACAAUCUGUCCAAUGACUGUGUCGCAGGUCAUGUGACCACGCUUCCCCUUCCCCACCCCUACCCCCUAGGGACCCCCACCCCCCCUGCUGCAAAAAAAACAAAAACAAAAAACUGAUGUUAAGAAGACUGGAAUGUUUGUGAUAUCAGGGGCAAGAGGUAUCAUAAAACAACAGCAUAGAGCGAGCUCUUUUAGAGGGCCUAUAUCUGCAAUCUGUAAAUGGUAAAAUGUCUGUGUAUUUUUUUAAAUGUACCUUUUCAAUAAAAGUACCAAAAAAAAAA